CCUACGGGUGGCAGCAGUGAGGAAUAUUGGUCAAUGGGCUUACGCCUGAACCAGCCAAGUCGCGUGAGGGAAGACUGCCCUAUGGGUUGUAAACCUCUUUUGUCAGGGAGCAACGCCGGCUACGUGUAGCCGGACUGAGAGUACCUGACGAAAAAGCAUCGGCUAACUCCGUGCCAGCAGCCGCGGUAAUACGGAGGAUGCGAGCGUUAUCCGGAUUUAUUGGGUUUAAAGGGAGCGUAGACGGCAGCGCAAGUCUGGAGUGAAAUGCCGGGGCCCAACCCCGGAACUGCUUUGGAAACUGUGCAGCUGGAGUGCAGGAGAGGUAAGCGGAAUUCCUAGUGUAGCGGUGAAAUGCGUAGAGAUUAGGAGGAACACCAGUGGCGAAGGCGGCCUGCUGGACGAUGACUGACGUUGAGGCUCGAAAGCGUGGGGAGCAAACAGGAUUAGAUACCCCUGUAGUC
rnacentral:rRNA from 1 species